UACGUAGGGGGCUAGCGUUGUCCGGAAUCAUUGGGCGUAAAGAGCGUGUAGGCGGCCCGGUAAGUCCGCUGUAAAAGUCAAAGGCUCAACCUUUGAAUGUCAGUGGAUACUGCCGGGCUAGAGUCCGGAAGAGGCGAGUGGAACUCCUGGUGUAGCGGUGGAAUGCGCAGAUAUCAGGAAGAACACCAACGGCGAAGGCAGCUCGCCGGGACGGUACUGACGCUGAGACGCGAAAGCGUGGGGAGCGAACAGG
rnacentral:rRNA from 1 species